UUCCUGUGAACUCUGAGAGCUAGAAUAUC
rnacentral:piRNA from 1 species